rnacentral:rRNA from 1 species
AUUGAACGCUGGCGGCAUGCUUUACACAUGCAAGUCGAACGGCAGCGGGGAGGAGCUUGCUUCUCUGCCGGCGAGUGGCGCACGGGUGAGUAAUACAUCGGAACGUGUCGAGAAGAGGGGGAUAACCACCCGAAAGGGUGGCUAAUACCGCAUAAAUUCUGAGGAAGAAAGCUGGGGACCUAGGAAUAGGCCUAGCGCUUUUUGAGCGGCCGAUGUCGGAUUAGCUAGUUGGUGAGGUAAAGGCUCACCAAGGCGAAGAUCUGUAGCGGGUCUGAGAGGAUGAUCCGCCACACUGGGACUGAGACACGGCCCAGACUCCUACGGGAGGCAGCAGUGGGGAAUUUUGGACAAUGGGGGCAAGCCUGAUCCAGCCAUGCCGCGUGUAUGAAGAAGGCCUUAGGGUUGUAAAGUACUUUUGUUAGGGAAGAAAAGUUAGCUGUGAAUAAUGGCUGAUACUGACGGUACCUAAAGAAUAAGCACCGGCUAACUACGUG